rnacentral:lncRNA from 1 species
GAAAAAUAAAAAACGGCUGAAAAAUUUGAUAAAAAACACUGUUCUAUUGAAUUUCUUCUGUGAUUCUUGAGGUUUUUUUCCUGAAGUUAUCUCUGAUUCACAUGGGUUGAAGAUGGUUUAAUUUGGGUUUUUGAAAGCUGAUUCUGAGUUGAGUUAGUGUUUUAAUUCGAGUUUGGUUUUUGGGUCUGCUGUGUGUCACUACUGGUUUGAGCAGAAAUUUGUUGCGUUCUUCUGGCACUGUUUCAUUACUGGGUUCAAGCUAUUCUGCUACUGUUUAUUCACUGAUCCCUUCUUUGCUUUCCUUUUAUUCUCAGGUACAUUUUUUCUGAAUUCUACACCAUGUGAAGUCUGACUUAAAGUGUGAAAUGAAACUUGAAAAUGUCGAGCAUGGCUUCAGCAUGUCUUGAUCCUUUAAUUUAGUUUUAUUUCGUCUAGAUUACACGAUUCUAAGUUUAUUAAAUGUACUGAAUGUUUAUUAUGAGGGCUGUAGUUAAUUUGUAUCUGAUAUGGAAUUAUGUUUAGCAAAGCCUUCAUAACUAGUUGUGGGGUUUGGAGUUCUUGUUGUGGUAGCUAAUCAUGAAUUGUGAAGAAGAAAAUGUGACGAAAACUUGUGAAUUGGACCUUUA